CUGGGGUCCAGCAGGAGUACAUUGAUCGGGCUCCGCUCGCAGCUUCACCUUAGCCCAUAAGGCGAAGCCUAGACGGCGUAGCCUACAUGAAAUUGAACGAUGGUUAUGUUAUUAUAACUCUAGUUCUAUGAUUGUAGGCGUAGCCGUCUAGUUUCCCACCUGCUGUACCCUUCAAAUGCUGAAAGAAAAGCGUGGAGGAUGAGCGACGGUAUACACCGCGUUAUAUAGACACGAUACCGUGGGAAAUGUGGGCGGUGCCCACGCUGAUUGGUGCAUUGUUUAAAAUUUUCAGGGGGACAAGCCCAUAAGGCGAAGCCUAGACGGCUACGCCUACAAUCAUAGAACUAGAGUUAUAAUAACAUAACUAUCGUUUUGCACUGCGCAAGCGCGAGUUGCACAUUAUGCAACAGCGCCCCCUAGGGUCACCCUUUUCAGUGGGUCGCAGAAUUCGGUGUAACAACGGGACUCACUGCACGAAGAUGUGACACGUUCGGCUCAGCUGCACUUGGAGUUUAUGGGCUUUCCACGGCAAAAGUACGGCAUCGACUGUGGCAUCUUCAUGUUGAUGUAUGUCCUUUACAAAGUGAUGGAUGCACCCUUUGACUUCACUGUUAUUGAAAUGCCGGCAUUGAGAAAAUGGUGGUGUAUCAUGCUGAUCGAAAAUCUUGACCUUGGAAGCCAUGGCAAACUCUUUGCCCACUGGACCGACGCAUCUAAGGCUCUUCUUCGGGGUGAGGUGCAAUGAGUUUUUAAACUGAAGAAGAGAAGGCGAGAUGACAUUCAUGAGUUGGACCUUGAUGCUGUGACAACGGACAAGUCUUCUUCCUCUGUCCUUUUCCCCUGCCUCUGUUCAGUAUGUUCAGUGUUGUUAAAUCAUUUCUCAUUUUUUUUGUUUAUUUACUAUUAGUUACUGUUCUUAUGUGUUUUUGUUAAUGUGAUGUUUGAAUAAACUUGCCUGUUGCAAUGUUGGUAUAA